AUUGAACGCUGGCGGCAUGCCUUACACAUGCAAGUCGAACGGUAACAGGUUAAGCUGACGAGUGGCGAACGGGUGAGUAAUGUAUCGGAACGUGCCCAGUCGUGGGGGAUAACUACUCGAAAGAGUGGCUAGUGCCGCAUACGACCUGAGGGUGAAAGCGGGGGACCGUAAGGCCUCGCGCGAUUGGAGCGGCCGAUAUCAGAUUAGCUAGUUGGUGGGGUAAAAGCCCACCAAGGCGACGAUCUGUAGCUGGUCUGAGAGGACGACCAGCCACACUGGGACUGAGACACGGCCCAGACUCCUACGGGAGGCAGCAGUGGGGAAUUUUGGACAAUGGGGGCAACCCUGAUCCAGCCAUUCCGCGUGAGUGAAGAAGGCCUUCGGGUUGUAAAGCUCUUUCGGCAGGAACGAAACGGCGAGCUCUAACAUAGCUUGCUAAUGACGGUACCUGAAGAAGAAGCACCGGCUAACUACGUGCCAGCCGCCGCAGUAAUAC
rnacentral:rRNA from 1 species